rnacentral:lncRNA from 1 species
UGAGAUAUCCUACUUUAAUUAUCGUGCUUUUGCUGUGCUGUCACGGGUACCUUUCAGAUAUGGCCUAGUAGUUAAUAUAUAUAUAUAUAUAUAUAUAUAUAUAUAGAUAGAUACACUUUCUACUACCCUCUCUGUGCUGUCACGGGUACCUUUCAUAUAUGGCCUAGUAGUUAAUAUAUAUAUAUAUAUAUAUAUAUAUAUAUAUAUAUAGAAACACUUUCUACACCCUCUCUUAAAUAGGUAAAUGAUUGUUUUAUUUACUUAUCAAUAGAAAUUUUGAAAAAACAAUGAAGAUUAUUAA